rnacentral:rRNA from 1 species
UGGGGAAUAUUGGACAAUGGGCGAAAGCCUGAUCCAGCCAUGCCGCGUGUGUGAAGAAGGUCUUCGGAUUGUAAAGCACUUUAAGUUGGGAGGAAGGGCAUUAACCUAAUACGUUAGUGUUUUGACGUUACCGACAGAAUAAGCACCGGCUAACUCUGUGCCAGCAGCCGCGGUAAUACAGAGGGUGCAAGCGUUAAUCGGAAUUACUGGGCGUAAAGCGCGCGUAGGUUGUUUUUUAAGUUGGAUGUGAAAUCCCCGGGCUCAACCUGGGAACUGCAUUCAAAACUGACUGACUAGAGUAUGGUAGAGGGUGGUGGAAUUUCCUGUGUAGCGGUGAAAUGCGUAGAUAUAGGAAGGAACACCAGUGGCGAAGGCGACCACCUGGACUAAUACUGACACUGAGGUGCGAAAGCGUGGGGAGCAAACA